rnacentral:tRNA from 1 species
AAGAUUUUAAGUUAAAUAAACUUUUAGCCUUCAAAGCUACAAAUAUGAGAAAAUUCCUCUUAAAUCUUA